rnacentral:rRNA from 1 species
UACCAGCACCCCGAGUGGUCGGGACGAUUAUUGGGCCUAAAGCAUCCGUAGCCGGUUCUACAAGUCUUCCGUUAAAUCCACCUGCUUAACAGAUGGGCUGCGGAGGAUACUAUAGAGCUAGGAGGCGGGAGAGGCAAGCGGUACUUAGUGGGUAGGGGUAAAAUCCGUUGAUCCAUUGAAGACCACCAGUGGCGAAGGCGGCUUGCCAGAACGCACUCGACGGUGAGGGAUGAAAGCUGGGG